rnacentral:SRP_RNA from 1 species
CCGCACAAGUCGGGGCGUUAGCGGUGCCUUGAACUCGCAAUCCGCUUCAGCGGGGACUAUGCGGGUAACAAGGAGCACACAUGCGGCGAGGCAGCCACUCACAGGGCGAUGAGGAACCGGUACUGCGCAACGGAGGACUGUGAACCAUGUCAGGCGGGGAACCGAGCAGCAUUAAGCAGAAACCAUCGUGUGCCGCAGAUCUGCCGAUUCUGAGUCCGAAAUGCGGAAAGGCAGCCGGGUGUGUGUAUUCGAAUUACCUGUGUGCGG